AACGAACGCUGGCGGCAUGCCUAACACAUGCAAGUCGAACGAGACCUUCGGGUCUAGUGGCGCACGGGUGCGCAACGCGUGGGAACCUGCCCUUAGGUUCGGAAUAACUCCCCGAAAGGGGUGCUAAUACCGGAUAAUGUCUUCGGACCAAAGAUUUAUCGCCUUUGGAUGGGCCCGCGUUGGAUUAGCUAGUUGGUAGGGUAAAAGCCUACCAAGGCGACGAUCCAUAGCUGGUCUGAGAGGAUGAUCAGCCACACUGGGACUGAGACACGGCCCAGACUCCUACGGGAGGCAGCAGUGGGGAAUAUUGGACAAUGGGCGAAAGCCUGAUCCAGCAAUGCCGCGUGAGUGAUGAAGGCCUUAGGGUUGUAAAGCUCGUUUACCCGGGAUGAUAAUGACAGUACCGGGAGAAUAAGCUCCGGCUAACUCCGUG
rnacentral:rRNA from 1 species